rnacentral:misc_RNA from 1 species
GUAUUAAUUGCGUGUGAUCGCAAAGAAAGACAUUCUACACUGUAUCGAGUUUGUGUGAAAACGCGAGCCCCCGGAAGGGGACCCACGCGGUGGUGCACAUAGGGGUGAAAUGGAUGGUUGAGAGCACUUGGGCGUGCACGACGAAAAGUCAGCGACAGCCCAUGUGCCUCGGUUGUACGAUAAUGAUCCUUCCGCAGGUUCACCUACGGAAA